ACCGACAGAUGAACAGAUGUCUUGCUUGCUGGGCUUCCCAUUACUAAUUCUUGAGGCCCAGUGUUUUCGUACCCCUGUCCACUUAGGAAGGAGUUGCAGCUUUCAUCAAAGAAACUGAUGAUCUAAAAGUUGAGACAGACUGGAUGAGCUAGGCUGCUUUGUCUGGACGAAAAUGAACCCUACAAGGCUCCAACAGCCUCAUCACACAGAAACUCGAGGAGCUGGAAGCAGGAAAGAGGACCGACAGAUGAACGGAUGACCUGCUUGCUGGGCUUCCCAUUACUGAUUCUUGAAAGAAAUGAGGACCACUGACUGAUGAGGGAAUUGUCUUACUGAGAUGAGGAUGAGCCUGCCUCAAGCCAUCGUAAGCUGGGAGGACCGACGAUGGACUGAUACUGCCUACUGGCCUGGCCAUUACUGAUUCUUGAGGACAUGAGGACCACCAAGCUUGGACGAGACUGGACAAUGACGAAGCUGCUCUACUGGACAAGGAUGCCUUCAUCAGAAACUUGAGUUAAAAAAACUAGCUUGCACAAUAUGAAAUGAUAAAUCAGACUGCAUAAUGCAACGACAUUAAUGUUAUACACUAAGUCAAUAACACUAAAAUAAAAUGAAAAGUAAUUUGGUUUCAUUAAAUUAUUUAUGCCUCUAAAAUAAUCUUAAACCGGAUACUGCAUCAGACAGUUAACAUUGGACAAUAAUGGAAACUUGCUGACAAAUUAUUGUAAGGAUAAUGAUUUGUCACUGGCUUUUUAGCAGUGACAUGUCUGGUAGAAGGGAUGUUCCUUGAUCUGUCCUGGGUCAUCCAACAUUAUUGCAUCAAUAAGUUAAUAAUUUCAUACUCCUUACCUUUAAUACAUUCAAUUGGAUCUUCUCGGUAAAUUAUAAACGAGGUCUCGCCUCAGGCUUUCUAUUUGCUUUUUGUUCAGUUGACAAUGGAGAACUUUGCUCUAUAAAUUUAAUUUGAUAUUGAAAGUGCACUUUUAAGAAAACCAAUUUAAAUCAUAAGAGUUUUAAAAGAUUUCAAAAAGGAUAUAAUUUAUUGUUUAAAAACUGAAGAAAUGUAACAAACUUUAUUUAAAUUUAACGUCUUUAACAAGACGUCGGUUUACCUUAAACGUGACUUUCUAUCCAUUGUAUAUUUAUUAGAAAACACAAGAACGUUUAAUGUUUAGGCAAAUUUAAAGAAUAAACUGUUCAGGAACUUCUAUCCAUCAAAAUGCAUUGCAACAGGUAUAAGUGACACUCAAAUUACAUUUGUGUUUGUCCUUUUGUAAUUUAUUUCAUUGCACUUUUUCACUUGUUAUAUUUUUUACUUCAUAUGCACAAUUGUUUUUCUUGGUGGUUUUGCAUGUCUUUUCAUUUUCUUAUUAAUAAUUAACUAACCCCACAAAAGGAUAAACGCAAUAUAUAUCGAGUGUUGAACUUGCCUCGC
rnacentral:lncRNA from 1 species